CCUACGGGAGGCAGCAGUCGAGAAUUAUGCACAAUGGGGGAAACCCUGAUGGGGCGACGCCGCGUGGGGGAAUGAAGGUCUACGGAUUGUAAACCCCUGUCAUGUGGGAGCAAAUUAAAAAGAUAGUACCACAAGAGGAAGAGACGGCUAACUCUGUGCCAGCAGCCGCGGUAAUACAGAGGUCUCAAGCGUUGUUCGGAAUCACUGGGCGUAAAGCGUGCGUAGGCUGUUUCGUAAGGCGUGUGUGAAAGGCGCGGGCUCAACCCGCGGGCGGCACAUGAUACUGCGAGACUAGAGUAAGGGAGAGGGAACCGGAAUUCUCGGUGUAGCAGUGAAAUGCGUAGAUAUCGAGAGGAACACUCGUGGCGAAGGCGGGUUCCUGGACCUUAACUGACGCUGAGGCACGAAGGCCAGGGGAGCGAAAGGGAUUAGAUACCCUUGUAGUC
rnacentral:rRNA from 1 species